GAUGAAGAACGCAGCGAAAUGCGAUAAGUAAUGAGAAUUGCAGAAUUCAGUGAAUCAUCGAAUCUUUGAACGCACAUUGCGCCCGCCAGCCAUUCUGGCGGGCAUGCCUGUCCGAGCGUCAUUUCAACCAUCAAGCCCCGUGCUUGUGUUGGGGAGCUGCGGGCCCUCCGGGGCGCGCAGGCCCUGAAAUGCAGUGGCGGGCUCGCUGACACACCGAGCGUAGUAGCAUAAUUCUCGCUCCGGGCGUGGCGGCGGGCGCCGGCCGUGAAACCCCCUACAUCAAAAAGGUUGACCUCGGAUCAGGUAGGAAUACCCGCUGAACUUAAGCAUAUCAAUAAGCGGAGG
rnacentral:misc_RNA from 1 species